rfam:Rhizoctonia solani AG-1 IA unplaced genomic scaffold scaffold47, whole genome shotgun sequence.
GCUGAAAUAGUUUAAGUGGUUAAAACUCAUCGCUCAUGUCGGUGUAAUAAGGGUUCAAUUCCUUUUUUCGGCU